rnacentral:ribozyme from 11 species
GCGCUUUUUCAUCUAUUGUAUGAAAAAAUGAAAGCUGAAUGAGAAAAGAAAAAAAUUAAAUUCGCCAAAUAUUCUUUUGUU